AUUGAACGCUGGCGGCAUGCUUUACACAUGCAAGUCGAACGGUAACAGGGACUUCGGUCUGCUGACGAGUGGCGAACGGGUGAGUAACAUAUCGGAGCGUGCCCAGUAAUGGGGGAUAGCUCGGCGAAAGCCGGAUUAAUACCGCAUACGCCCUGAGGGGGAAAGUGGGGGAUCUUCGGACCUCACGUUAUUGGAGCGGCCGAUAUCAGAUUAGCUAGUUGGUGGGGUAAAGGCCUACCAAGGCGACGAUCUGUAGCUGGUCUGAGAGGAUGAUCAGCCACACUGGAACUGAGACACGGUCCAGACUCCUACGGGAGGCAGCAGUGGGGAAUAUUGCGCAAUGGGCGAAAGCCUGACGCAGCAACGCCGCGUGGGUGAAGAAGGUCUUCGGAUCGUAAAGCCCUGUCAGGAGGGACGAAACAAAUGACGGUACCUCCAAAGGAAGCACUGGCUAACUCCGUGCCAGCAGCCGCGGUAAUGUGACUACUGC
rnacentral:rRNA from 1 species